rnacentral:rRNA from 1 species
GAGUUUGAUCCUGGCUCAGAUUGAACGCUGGCGGCAGGCCUAACACAUGCAAGUCGAGCGGAAACGAGUUAACWGAACCUUCGGGGAACGUUAACGGCGUCGAGCGGCGGACGGGUGAGUAAUGCCUAGGAAAUUGCCCUGAUGUGGGGGAUAACCAUUGGAAACGAUGGCUAAUACCGCAUGAUGCCUACGGGCCAAAGAGGGGGACCUUCGGGCCUCUCGCGUCAGGAUAUGCCUAGGUGGGAUUAGCUAGUUGGUGAGGUAAGGGCUCACCAAGGCRACGAUCCCUAGCUGGUCUGAGAGGAUGAUCAGCCACACUGGAACUGAGACACGGUCCAGACUCCUACGGGAGGCAGCAGUGGGGAAUAUUGCACAAUGGGCGCAAGCCUGAUGCAGCCAUGCCGCGUGUGUGAAGAAGGCCUUCGGGUUGUAAAGCACUUUCAGUCGUGAGGAAGGUAGUGUVKUUAAUAGMUGCAUUAUUUGACGUUAGCGACAGAAGAAGCACCGGCUAACUCCGUGCCAGCAGCCGCGGUAAUAC